UACGUAGGGUGCAGGCGUUAAUCGGAAUUACUGGGCGUAAAGCGUGCGCAGGCGGUUUUGUAAGUCAGGUGUGAAAUCCCCGGGCUUAACCUGGGAACUGCGCUUGUAACUGGCAAGCUAGAGUGUGGCAGAGGGGGGUGGAAUUCCACGUGUAGCAGUGAAAUGCGUAGAGAUGUGGAGGAACACCGAUGGCGAAGGCAGCCCCCUGGGCUAACACUGACGCUCAUGCACGAAAGCGUGGGGAGCAAACAGG
rnacentral:rRNA from 1 species